rnacentral:rRNA from 1 species
GGCGAGUGAAGCGGCAACAGCUCAAAUUUGAAAUCUGGCCUCCUCAGGGGGCCCGAGUUGUAAUUUGCAGAGGGUGCUUUGGUGUUGACAGCGGUCUAAGUUCCUUGGAACAGGACGUCACAGAGGGUGAGAAUCCCGUACGUGGUCGCCCGUCUUCGCCGUGUAAAGCCCCUUCGACGAGUCGAGUUGUUUGGGAAUGCAGCUCUAAAUGGGAGGUAAAUUUCUUCUAAAGCUAAAUAUUGGCCAGAGACCGAUAGCGCACAAGUAGAGUGAUCGAAAGAUGAAAAGCACUUUGGAAAGAGAGUCAAAAAGCACGUGAAAUUGUUGAAAGGGAAGCGCUUGCAGCCAGACUUGCCCGUAGUUGCUCACCCGGACUUUUGCCCGGGGCACUCUUCUGCGGGCAGGCCAGCAUCAGUUUGGGCGACCGGAUAACGGCCUCUGUCAUGUAUCUUCCUUCGGGAUGACCUUAUAGGGGAGGCGUAAUGCGGCCAGCCUGGACUGAGGUCCGCGCAUCUGCUAGGAUGCUGGCGUAAUGGCUGUAAGCGGCCCGUCUUGAAACACGGACCAAGGAGUCUAACAUCUAUGCGAGUGUUUGGGUGUCAAGCCCGAGCGCGUAAUGAAAGUGAACGGAGGUGGGAACCCUCUAGGGGGCGCACCAUCGACCGAUCCUGAUGUUCUCGGAUGGAUUUGAGUAAGAGCAUAGCUGUUGGGACCCGAAAGAUGGUGAACUAUGCUUGAAUAGGGUGAAGCCAGAGGAAACUCUGGUGGAGGCUCGCAGCGGUUCUGACGUGCAAAUCGAUCGUCAAAUUUGGGCAUAGGGGCGAAAGACUAAUCGAACUAUC